rnacentral:piRNA from 1 species
UCGAGGUGCCCGGUGCCGACUGCCUGCU